rnacentral:rRNA from 1 species
UGGGGAAUAUUGCACAAUGGGCGCAAGCCUGAUGCAGCCAUGCCGCGUGUAUGAAGAAGGCCUUCGGGUUGUAAAGUACUUUCAGCGGGGAGGAAGGCGAUAAGGUUAAUAACCUUGUCGAUUGACGUUACCCGCAGAAGAAGCACCGGCUAACUCCGUGCCAGCAGCCGCGGUAAUACGGAGGGUGCAAGCGUUAAUCGGAAUUACUGGGCGUAAAGCGCACGCAGGCGGUCUGUCAAGUCGGAUGUGAAAUCCCCGGGCUCAACCUGGGAACUGCAUUCGAAACUGGCAGGCUAGAGUCUUGUAGAGGGGGGUAGAAUUCCAGGUGUAGCGGUGAAAUGCGUAGAGAUCUGGAGGAAUACCGGUGGCGAAGGCGGCCCCCUGGACAAAGACUGACGCUCAGGUACGAAAGCGUGGGGAGCAAACA